CCCCAAGGCACUGCAACCUUCAGAAAAAUGAGUCACAUGACCAUGGGGAAUGCUGCAACAGUGUGACCACUUACCCAAUGAUGUUCCCAGAAUCCUGUGAUGACAGCUGGACCCAAAGAUCGGGCUGGAUUCAUACUGCCCCCAGAGAAGGUCGUCUUUCUAGCUGUGGCUGGAGCAUUGGCUAAGCUUCAGGACUAUUCUUGGCUGGAACCAAUUUGGGAUAGUGGUGAAGGUGAUAGCCUAGGAAAGAGGAGACUAUGAGUUCUAAUUCCACCUUUGACCUGAAAACCAGCUGUGUGACUUCAGGCCACUCACUCGCAUGCUAACCCAUCUCACAGAGUUGUUCUGGAGGAAAUAGGAGGACUUUCUCUUUAAGAAUCACUCCAGUUUUGUUACAGUCCAUGGACAGCAAAAAGCAAAACAAAACCUGUGGAUAAAAGCUGUAAUUGCACUUUUUACAAAGGGAUCCACUAACAGAGGAUGAGCUUCACUGAACAAAAAUGAAGCUGUAGACCAGCUUCAUUUUAAAGAUCACCAGCCGAACACAAGCAUCUAACUUAGUUAACUUUAAUUAAAAUCCACCUUAAUUAAAAUUUGCUACAGGAAACCUAUUGGGGGGGGAGAGAUCUGGAGCUAUGGUACCAUGAAAUUAGGUGCACUUUGAAGCACUUA